rnacentral:rRNA from 1 species
UACGUAGGGCGCAAGCGUUAUCCGGAAUUAUUGGGCGUAAAGAGCUCGUAGGCGGUUUGUCGCGUCUGCCGUGAAAGUCCGGGGCUCAACUCCGGAUCUGCGGUGGGUACGGGCAGACUAGAGUGAUGUAGGGGAGACUGGAAUUCCUGGUGUAGCGGUGAAAUGCGCAGAUAUCGGGAAGAACACCCGUGGCGAAGGCGGCUCUCUGGGACGGUACUGACGCUGAGACGCGAAAGCGUGGGGAGCGAACGAGG